UACGUAGGGGGCAAGCGUUGUCCGGAAUUAUUGGGCGUAAAGCGCGUGUAGGCGGCUCGGUAAGUCUGCUGUGAAAGUCCAGGGCUCAACCCUGGAAUGCCGGUGGAUACUGUCGAGCUCGAGUCCGGAAGAGGCGAGUGGAAUUCCUGGUGUAGCGGUGAAAUGCGCAGAUAUCAGGAGGAACACCGAUUGCGAAGGCAGCUCGCUGGGACGGUACUGACGCUGAGACGCGAAAGCGUGGGGAGCAAACAGG
rnacentral:rRNA from 1 species